rnacentral:rRNA from 1 species
CGUAGGGUGCAAGCGUUAAUCGGAAUUACUGGGCGUAAAGCGUGCGCAGGCGGUUUUAUAAGUCUGAUGUGAAAUCCCCGGGCUCAACCUGGGAACUGCAUUGGAGACUGUAAGGCUAGAGUGUGUCAGAGGGGGGUAGAAUUCCACGUGUAGCAGUGAAAUGCGUAGAUAUGUGGAGGAAUACCGAUGGCGAAGGCAGCCCCCUGGGAUAACACUGACGCUCAUGCACGAAAGCGUGGGGAGCAAACAGGAUUAGAUACCCUGGUAGUCCACGCCCUAAACGAUGUCUACUAGUUGUCGGGUCUUAAUUGACUUGGUAACGCAGCUAACGCGUGAAGUAGACCGCCUGGGGGAGUACGGUCGCAAGAUUAA